rnacentral:lncRNA from 1 species
GAAAGGGGCGCAAGGAAUCUUGCCAGCGUAUGGGGCAGCCUAGUGGCCGGGCCAGCACCGCUCAGAAUGCAGAAGAUGACCAAUACAGAUGACCCUGAAGCCUACUUGCAUACGUUUGAGAGGGUGGCCACAGCAGCAGGAUGGCCGCGGGAUCAAUAGACUUUGGUGUUCAUCCCGUGUCUCACUGGCCUGCUGCAAGAGGUGGUUGAUACCCUUGGCGUUCAAGAGGCGACACGAUAUGACGCGGUAAAAACGCUAUCCUGAGCACUCUGAACCUGACGGAAGAGACCUACAGGAAACGUCUGAGAGAGCUGAAGUGGAAGCCUGGGACCCACCCGUGUACUGUGGCACAGAGGAUGAGGGCCAACGCGAUGAGAUGGCUGAAACCGUCAGAAAAUGAUGGUGAAAAGAUAGUGGAUGCAGUCGUGCUAGAGCAGCUAGUACAGUCCUUGGGGACUAACACGAAGAGCUGGAUACAGAAGAAUAAUCCCAAGAUGUUAGAGUGGGCGAUUACGCUGUUGGAGGACUACAGUAACACGGAGGAAGCGAACAAGGAAGUGACCGCCCCCUGGGCGGAGAAACAUCAACCGCGUGGAGGAGAAGUUUCUCUUUCGACUUCUAAUCUCACUGCGAAGGCAGGCUUGGAUAUGAACGGAUCAGCCAAACCCCGUGGGAGAGGGUUCGAGCCAUUUGCCCCGAAGCCCGUCAGGCCUAUUACGGUAGAUCAGCGGAUUUACGCUCCGGGCAUGGGCUGGAGAGAGGGCAAAGAUGGGCGCCCCAUCUAUAACCCAGGAGCGGUUUGGCGGGACAACAAAGAGGGGCGGCCCAUUUGCUUUUCCUGUGGGGUCCCGGGCCACGUGAGGAAAAAUUGCCCAGGGACCGAUUGUUCGUGGGUGGGGCGACUAACCCAGCCUGUGGAACCUAAGGUCCCUUCCUCUGAGCGAUGGGAAAUAGACACGUGGGUGAAUGGGGUGAAAAAGAAAGCCCUUAUAGAUACCGGGUGUGGGACGACCCUGGUGAGAGACCUACUGGGCGACAAGAAAGAUGGAGGACUGUCCAUGCGGUGUAUUCACAGGGACCUUAAGAAAUACCAAACUAUGUGGGCCACCGUGAAGGUGGGGAAAGAAGAGAGACGCAUGAACAUUGGGGUCAUGCCUGGACUAACACGUGAGAUGCUGCUUGGUCGGGAUUGGGUGGGCUCCCAUACUGUGGGUUCGAUUAAAGAGGGGCUGCAAGGGGAUGAUGUGAGUGAUAAGGACCAGUCCGAUUUUUUGCAGAAAACAUUGCGGGAGCAAGUGAGAGCCAUGCAACAAGAUGACGCUUCAUUGCGGGAGCCUUUGUUGGCGGCUCAACCAUCGGGAACCAUUGUAAGAGGGCAAAGGGGAUGGGAGAUGGAUAACAAUUUGUUGUAUUAUGUGCAUGAUAAUACAUCUCCCAUGUAUUAUGUGCAUGGGAGAUGGAUAACAA